CGGAAUUACUGGGCGUAAAGCGCACGCAGGCGGUUUGUUAAGUCAGAUGUGAAAUCCCCGCGCUUAACGUGGGAACUGCAUUUGAAACUGGCAAGCUAGAGUCUUGUAGAGGGGGGUAGAAUUCCAGGUGUAGCGGUGAAAUGCGUAGAGAUCUGGAGGAAUACCGGUGGCGAAGGCGGCCCCCUGGACAAAGACUGACGCUCAGGUGCGAAAGCGUGGGGAGCAAACAGGAUUAGAUACCCUGGUAGUCCACGCUGUAAACGAUGUCGACUUGGAGGUUGUGCCCUUGAGGCGUGGCUUCCGGAGCUAACGCGUUAAGUCGACCGCCUGGGGAGUACGGCCGCAAGGUUAAAACUCAAAUGAAUUGACGGGGGCCCGCACAAGCGGUGGAGCAUGUGGUUUAAUUYGAUGCAACGCGAAGAACCUUACCUACUCUU
rnacentral:rRNA from 1 species